rnacentral:rRNA from 1 species
AGAGUUUGAUCCUGGCUCAGAUUGAACGCUGGCGGCGUGCCUAACACAUGCAAGUCGAGCGGUAACAGGUGUAGCAAUACAUGCUGACGAGCGGCGGACGGGUGAGUAACGCUUGGGAAUCUGCCUGUUAGUGGGGGACAACCCGGGGAAACUCGGGCUAAUACCGCAUACGCACUAUGGUGGAAAGCCGGGGACCGCAAGGCCUGGCGCUAACAGAUGAGCCCAAGUCGGAUUAGCUAGUUGGUAGGGUAAUGGCCUACCAAGGCGACGAUCCGUAACUGGUCUGAGAGGACGACCAGUCACACCGGAACUGAGACACGGUCCGGACUCCUACGGGAGGCAGCAGUGGGGAAUAUUGGACAAUGGGGGCAACCCUGAUCCAGCGACGCCGCGUGGGUGAAGAAGGCCUGCGGGUUGUAAAGCCCUUUCGGUGGGGAAGAAAAGUUGCGACCUAACACGUUGCGACCUUGACGUAACCCACUAAAGAAGCACCGGCUAACUCUGUGCCAGCAGCCGCGGUAAUACAGAGGGUGCGAGCGUUAAUCGGAAUUACUGGGCGUAAAGCGCGCGUAGGCGGCUUUUCAAGUCGAUUGUGAAAUCCCCGGGCUUAACCUGGGAACUGCAGUCGAGACUGUCUAGCUAGAGUAUGGGAGAGGGAAGUGGAAUUUCAGGUGUAGCGGUGAAAUGCGUAGAUAUCUGAGAUAACAUCAGUGGCGAAAGCGACUUCCUGGACCAAUACUGACGCUCAUGUGCGAAAGCGUGGGGAGCAAACAGGAUUAGAUACCCUGGUAGUCCACGCCGUAAACGAUGGAUGCUAGCCGUUGGUGGGUUUACUCAUCAGUGGCGCAGCUAACGCAUUAAGCAUCCCGCCUGGGGAGUACGGUCGCAAGAUUAAAACUCAAAGGAAUUGACGGGGGCCCGCACAAGCGGUGGAGCAUGCGGUUCAAUUCGAAGCAACGCGCAGAACCUUACCAGCCCUUGACAUGUCCCGUAUGGGUCUCAGAGAUGAGACCCUUCAGUUCGGCUGGCGGGAACACAGGUGCUGCAUGGCUGUCGUCAGCUCGUGUCGUGAGAUGUUGGGUUAAGUCCCGCAACGAGCGCAACCCUCGCCCUUAGUUGCCAUCAUUAAGUUGGGCACUCUAAGGGGACUGCCGGUGAUAAGCCGCGAGGAAGGUGGGGAUGACGUCAAGUCCUCAUGGCCCUUACGGGCUGGGCUACACACGUGCUACAAUGGCGGUGACAGAGGGACGCAAUGGAGCAAUCCUGCGCAAAUCUCAAAAAGCCGUCUCAGUUCGGAUUGUCCUCUGCAACUCGAGGGCAUGAAGUUGGAAUCGCUAGUAAUCGCAGAUCAGCACGCUGCGGUGAAUACGUUCCCGGGCCUUGUACACACCGCCCGUCACGUCACGAAAGUCGGCAACACCCGAAGCCCGUGGCCCAACCAGCUUGCUGGGGGGAGCGGUCGAAGGUGGGGCUGGCG